rnacentral:rRNA from 1 species
CACGCCGUAAACGAUGGAUACUAGGUGUAGGUGGUAACACGCCAUCUGUGCCGGAGUUAACACAUUAAGUAUCCCACCUGGGGAGUACGACCGCAAGGUUAAAACUCAAAGGAAUUGACGGGGGCCCGCACAAGCAGUGGAGUAUGUGGUUUAAUUCGAAGCAACGCGAAGAACCUUACCAGGGCUUGACAUCCCUCGAAUAUUGUUGAGAAGCAAUAGUCCUUCGGGACGAGGAGACAGGUGG